UAUUAGGUUGGUGCAAAAGUAAUUGUGCUUUUUGCCAUUUAAAGUAAUGGCAAAACCACAAUUACUUUUGCACCAACCUAAUA
rfam:Homo sapiens chromosome 4, GRCh38 reference primary assembly.